rnacentral:rRNA from 1 species
CCACAUAAGCAGGUGAAACUUCUUAGAGGAACUGGCGCCCGAAAAGGCGCACGAGAAAGAGCAAUAACAGGUCUGUGAUGCCCUAAGAUGUCCGGGGCCGCACGCGUGCUACAAUGACGAUGCUACUGAGCAUGAUUAACUUGUCCGAAAGGAUUGGUGAAACUGUUCAAUCAUCGUCGUGACUGGGAUUGGGGUUUGUAAUUAUCCCCCAUGAACCAGGAAUUCCUAGUAAGCACAAGUCAUAAGCUUGUGCUGAUUACGUCCCUGCCCUUUGUACACACCGCCCGUCGCUACUACCGAUUGAAUGGUUUAGCAAGGACAUUGGAUUGGGCCUAUGCGGCGCAGGCUGCUUGGGCUUGAGAAGAUGUCCGAACUUGAUCAUUUAGAGGAAGUAAAAGUCGUAACAAGGUUUCCGUAGGUGAACCUGCGGAAGGAUCAUUA